rnacentral:rRNA from 1 species
CACGCCGUAAACUAUGGAUGCUAGCCGUUGGCGAGCUUGCUCGUCAGUGGCGCAGCUAACGCUUUAAGCAUCCCGCCUGGGGAGUACGGUCGCAAGAUUAAAACUCAAAGGAAUUGACGG